GUUUCUUCCUCUCCGUUCGGUCGGGAGUAGCAUCCUCCACUCAGCCACCCUUCCCACUCCCCCAUCGUGGGGCAGCUGCGGCUGAGGGCUGUGGCUUUGGCAGCUGCGACGGGGAGCGGCGGAGACCGCCUCUGCUCCCGCCUGGGGUUGCUGCUUUUGCUCAGAGGACAUCCAUGACCCUAAUGGUCUUUUUGUUCAAGAUAAAGUGAUUUUUUGCCUUUGUUGAUUAACUGGACAAAUUCAGGUACUGAGGCCGGGCGCGGUGGCUCACGCCUGUAAUCCCAGCACUUUGGGAGGCCGAGGCGGGCGGAUCACGAGGUCAGGAGAUCGAGACCAUCCCGGCUAAAACGGUGAAACCCCGUCUCUACUAAAAAUACAAAAAAUUAGCCGGGCGUAGUGGCGGGCGCCUGUAGUCCCAGCUACUUAGGAGGCUGAGGCAGGAGAAUGGCGUGAACCCAGGAGGCAGAGCUUGCAGUGAGCCGAGAUCCUGCCACUGCACUCCAGCCUGGGCGACAGAGCGAGACUCCGUCUCAAAAAAA
rnacentral:lncRNA from 1 species